GAAGGUAUAGCUCAGCGGUAGAGUGCAUGCUUACUUAACAUGCACAAGGUCCUGGGUUCAAUCCCCGGUAGUUCCA
rnacentral:tRNA from 1 species